AUGAACACAUCCACUUGGGACAUGAGUUCUUCGUCAUCUUCAUCUGGCGAUGAUGAACUCAUACUUGCAGCAUUCACCGAGCGCGAGGAGGAAGAGAGAAAGAACGCUCGACGCCAUGGUGGUUCCAAGCAUGGACGUCAGUCAAUCGAUCGAGGAAGAGAUGCCGAAUUUCUUCUUCUGUGGGAUGACUACUUCAAAGAGGUUCCUCGCUUUCCCGGACAUUUGUUUCGACGAAGAUUUAGGAUGUCACGUACUUUGUUCAACCGCAUAGCUGAUGGUAUACUUGAGCAUGACUAUGAUGGGUUUUUUAUGCAAAAAAGAAGUGCUUCUUGA
rnacentral:rRNA from 1 species